CUCUCAGGACUCAGGACUCAGCAUUAGGUGCAUGAGGGGCAUGCCAGCACCUGAUAUCGGGAUCAAUACAGUCACACCUGGGCCAGAUCAGGCCAAUACCUACAUGAUCUGAGAGUUGACAAGAGCAAAUCCUAUAGGAAGAAGAUUCUAGAAAGAUUCGUUUUGAGGAGCAAAUGCAGAAGGUGGUCAUCCAGAACUAGGGCAGUGAUCAUGCGAAGAACGGGAAAGAGGAGGAGGAAGGACAUGCAAAAGAAACCAAGGACAGUGCAUGAUCAACACAUCCCCUGCUGAGCACACAGAGCGAGGAGAGAAGCCAGGGGGCAAGGACCGAGGAAUCCAAUCAGAUACAGUGGAGUCCAGCGGCUCAGACCUGGCCAAUCAAUACACUCCAAUUUCCUGGCCACAGGGAUUGGCUCAAAGGAUACUCACCUGACGCGCCCUGGGCCAAUUUC